ensembl:lncRNA
GGGAGGUGUGGGCCUCUCUGGGGAGCCCAGCUGGAAUGGCUGUCCGAGGACUGCAGGCUGGAGGCAUGGAUGUCAGAGCUGGCGAGUCUUCCCCAAAGGCCGGGCACAGUGUUCUGGGGCUCCCGCAAUAAUCAGAACAGGCAUCAGGAUCUUUUCCAGUGAGUCAGCUCUUCACAUUAAGUGGCUAAAGUAUUGGAGCUUCAGCUUCAGCAUCAAUCCUUCUAGUGAAUGUUCAGGGUUGAUUUCCUUUAGGAUUGACUAGUUUGAUCUGCUUGCAGUCCAAGGGCUAGAAAGGAGCAAAAACAGAUGUAGCCUCUAGCCUGAUAGAGUUUUCAGUGGAUGGAGAGAAACAUUAAUUUAAAAAAAAAUCAUACAAAUAAAUUUGAAACAACACAUGUAAAAGGAGCUUUGACGGGAAAAAUGUGGAACUACGAGAGCAUUUAAACAGGAGAUUUUAUUUAGAGAGAGCAGGGAAGAGUCUGCAAGGAAGAGAAGUUUGAGCUGAGAUCUGAAGGGAGAGGAGGAAAUGAGUGAAUAAAGAUGGAAGCAAAGAGUAGGGUUUAAUCCCUUGGCCAGGAAGUUCCCCUGGAGGAGGGCGUGGAAACACCUUCCAGUAUUCUUGCCUGGAAAAUCCCAUGGACAGAGGAGUCUGGUGGGCUACCGUCCAUGGUGUCCUGAUGAGUCGGAUACAACUGAAGCAACUGUGCACACAUGCAAAGUGUAUUCCAGGGUGUGUGCCUGGGGGAAACAGUAGGUGUGAAGGCCCUGGGGAGAGAGGAGGUAUUGAUGGAUGGCCAGGGGGCCAGGGCAGAGAACCAUGUCAGGAGGGACAACUUGGAAGAGCUGGGAAGCACGCACAAGCAGUCUGAUCUGGACCAGGCAGCACGUUUGGAUGAGAAGGGAAGACCAAGGCUGUGAUUCUAAAGUAGAGACAAGGCUAAAGCUUGGCUAAAGCGACUUCCCUGCUGGUCCAGCGGUGACGAAUCCACCUGCCAAUGCAGGGGAUACGAGUUCGAUCCCUGGUCCAGGAAGAUUGCCCAGGGGCAACUAAGCCCGUGCACCACAGUGACUGAAACCUGCGUGCCUAGGGCCUGUGCUCCGAAACACGAGGAGCCACCGCCCCGAGAAGCCGGCACACCCCAGCUAGAGAGGAGUCCCUACUCACCGCAGCUGGAAAGAAGGCCGAGUGCAGCAACCAACGCCUUGUGCAGCCAGAAAUAAUAAAUAAAGAAAUAAAAAAUUUAAAAACGCUGGCUAUAGGCCCGGAGAGAGAAACAGAAAUGAAAGUAAUAAUAAUAAAAAUCAUAAAUAGAUUGCAGGUCCUUGG